UGAAGUAGCUCAUUUUGAAUAAGUGGCUUGCCAAGCCAUUUCAGAGAGCACUUGAGAAUUAAGGCUGUGAAUCAGAAGCCUCAUGUGGACCACGACAGCUUUCAACAUUUCAAUGAGCUACCGAACAUUAUCGUAAUCCACUGCAUGGCAUGAGUCAUUGACAGCAGACAACGCCCAAUUCCACAAUAUUAAGAUAAACGCAAAAUCCUGGCUCUGUGAUUCCAACUUUCAUUAUCAUCAGCGGUCCCUCGCAGAUAAGGAUGAUUCUCAUCCAAUGUCAGGGCAAGUCUGUUGGUGGCUGUACAGACCACCACAGACUCUGUUACACUUGGGGCAGGUGGUGGUCAGAGGAAGAGGUGAAUGGGGCAUUGAUGUGGCAGUGCACUCCUUUUGGUGUUUUCGUCUGGCUUCCAUUUUUGCUAAUGGCAAGUCUCGAGGUGCUCGAUGCCUUCCCAGAUGCUCCUCCUCCACUUUGGACAGUCUUGGGCCAGUGAUUCCCAGGUGUCUGUGGAAAUGCUGCACUUCGCCAGUGAGGCCUUGAUUGUAUCACUGAAGCACUUCAGAAACUCGCCUGCCAUUUUGGAAGAAUUUCAAUAUGUAGCGAAGGGCUUAACCAUCAGGUUUAGGAUGAUAAGUAUUAAGUGAUUUUUGUGGCAAGAAAUUACCAACUUAAAUAAGAUAUCUCAUCACCUCUCCUUGAUAUUCACUGGCAGUUUCUGAGUACCCCCAACAUCAGAAUCCUCCAGGACUACCAUCAACCAUAAACUCACUUGGUCAGUAUUGAAGUGAAAUGGGUACUGAGAACAUCACAUGCUCAGUAUCUUCAAAAUCCUUCCAAAGCCUUUUUACAAUUCAGGGACAUUAUAGUGUACUCACUCUCACAGACACUACUCAAAAAUGGUCAUUAUGUCUUCAGAUGGCCUUCUAGUAGCUCCUACUGUUAAUUAGAUGUGUGUACACUUGCAGAUGUUUUGCAUGGUAGAUUGGUUGUAGUCUGAGAUGGUAAUGUCAAAGUUAGGAAAUCCAGGAAAAUAACAGCAUAUCUGCUUCAUCGAUCAGAUUGAGGAUUAUGAAAUUACAGUGUAAGGACCGAUAAGGACAUGUAAAUUAUGGUGGGUGAAUUCAUAAACUUAUGUUUUAAGGUAGUUAUUAUGUCAAACCUGUUUCCUCUGAAUUUGGCAGCAAACUUCUGGAGUUGGUGUGUGCAGUUAAAUGGAGAAAGCCCCAACUUGCUGUCAGAAAUUCACUGCUGUAGUCCUUGCAGAUGGUAAUGAA